rnacentral:rRNA from 1 species
UUAUACCGCGAAACUGCGAAUGGCUCAUUAAAUCAGUUAUCGUUUAUUUGAUAGUACCUUACUACUUGGAUAACCGUGGUAAUUCUAGAGCUAAUACAUGCUAAAAAUCCCGACUUCCGGAGGGAUGUAUUUAUUAGAUUAAAAACCAAUGCCCUCACGGGCUCACUGGUGAUUCAUGAUAACUUCUCGGAUCGCACGGCCUUGCGCCGGCGACGUUUCAUUCAAAUUUCUGCCCUAUCAACUUUCGACUGCUGGGUCUUGGCCAGCAAUGGUGACAACGGGUAACGGAGGGUUAGGGCUCGACCCCGGAGAAGGAGCCUGAGAAACGGCUACUACAUCCAAGGAAGGCAGCAGGCGCGCAAAUUAUCCAAUCCCGACACGGGGAGAUAGUGACGAUAAAUACUGAUACAGGGCUCUUUAGGGUCUUGUAAUUGGAAUGAGUACAAUUUAAACCACUUAACGAGGAACAAUUGGAGGGCAAGUCUGGUGCCAGCAGCCGCGGUAAUUCCAGCUCCAAUAGCGUAUAUUAAAGUUGUUGCAGUUAAAAAGCUCGUAGUUGAACCUUGGGCCUGGCCGGCCGGUCCGCCUCACCGCGUGCACUGGCCCGGCCGGGCCUUUCCUCUGGCUAGCCCCAUGCCCUUCACUGGGCGUGCGGGGGAUCCAGGACUUUUACUUUGAAAAAAUUAGAGUGUUCAAAGCAGGCCUAUGCUCGAAUACAUUAGCAUGGAAUAAUAAAAUAGGACGUUGCGGUUCUAUUUUGUUGGUUUCUAGGACCGCCGUAAUGAUUAAUAGGGACAGUCGGGGGCAUCAGUAUUCAAUUGUCAGAGGUGAAAUUCUUGGAUUUAUUGAAGACUAACUACUGCGAAAGCAUUUGCCAAGGAUGUUUUCAUUAAUCAGGAACGAAAGUUAGGGGAUCGAAGACGAUCAGAUACCGUCGUAGUCUUAACCAUAAACUAUGCCGACUAGGGAUCGGGCGGUGUUAUUUUUUGACCCGCUCGGCACCUUACACGAAAGUAAA